rnacentral:lncRNA from 1 species
AGAUGAAGUACCAGAAAUACCUGACGGUGCUGCAGAUGGCCAUCGGCGUCACCCCCUCCAACCGCGGCAGCCUCCUGCCGCUCAAGAGGAAGCUGUGGGUAACGCCAUCCUCUGAAAAUCCUAAUGGUGCUACUUCUAGUGUCAGCCAAGGAAAACCCUCUUUAAGAAGAAUUAAAGGGAGAUUACACAGAAGCAAAAGCCUUGAUAGCAUCGAUUUCUGUGAGCUCACUGUAAGUGGACUGAUCAAUGCUUUUCUGUUUUCAAAGAGUAUGAAAGUUUUUAUUUUAUUAUUUUCAUAAGAUGCAACAGGCUUAUUUUGUGGCAAGCAUUUUUUAAUUUUAGAAAUGGUUUACCCAACAGGUUACCAACCAGAAUGCUUUCUUAACUAGCAUGCAUAUGAUAUAUUUAUAAUAAUGGUUCAGAAUGAUGAUUCUGAUACAAAGAUGAAGAUAGAGAAAUGCUUCCUAGUGCUACAAGAAAAAUGGAUUUAAGUUCAAUAGAGUAUUAAUGUGAAUAUCUCAUAAAAUCACAAAUCUACAUGUUAAUGAGACUUAAGUAUCUGAUUAACCCCAAACACCCAGCUUCCUGAUAGUACCAGACAAUAGUUACUCUAAUAUUGUUAGCACAGAUCCCAAUUCAGUCAGUUAAUGAUGGUGCUUUCUUUCUAUUCUUUUUUUUUUUUUAAGAGGCAGGGUCUCCCUCUGUUGUCCUGACCGGAGUGCUGUGGUACAGUUAUGGCUCACUGCAGCCUUGAACCCUAUGCUCAAGUAAUCCUCUCACAUCAGCCUCCCAAGUAGCUGGGACUAUAGGCGUGUGCCACUAUGCCUGGCUAAUUUUUUGAAUAUUUUGUAGAGAUGGAGGUCUCACUAUGUUGCCUAGAGCUGGUUUUGAACUCCUGGCACUUUCUUUUUAUUCUAAGUAAUUAACAUUAAUGGCCAUAUUUUUUUUUGAGGCCAAGCAACAGGUUCUUAUUUCUCAUAUGGGAAUGUGGUAAAUUCAU